rnacentral:rRNA from 1 species
AAGGAAUAUUGGACAAUGGGGGAAACCCUGAUCCAGCAAUGCCGCGUGAGUGAAGAAGGCCUUAGGGUUGUAAAGCUCUUUCGCCCGCGAAGAUAAUGACGGUAGCGGGAGAAGAAGCCCCGGCUAACUCCGUGCCAGCAGCCGCGGUAAUACGGAGGGGGCUAGCGUUGUUCGGAAUUACUGGGCGUAAAGCGUACGUAGGCGGAUGCGCAAGUUGGGGGUGAAAUCCCGGGGCUUAACCUCGGAAUUGCCCUCAAAACUGCACGUCUUGAGACCGAGAGAGGUAAGGGGAAUUCCUAGUGUAGAGGUGAAAUUCGUAGAUAUUAGGAAGAACACCAGUGGCGAAGGCGCCUUACUGGCUCGGUACUGACGCUGAGGUACGAAAGCGUGGGGAGCAAACA